rnacentral:rRNA from 1 species
UACGUAGGGGGCUAGCGUUGUCCGGAAUCAUUGGGCGUAAAGCGCGUGUAGGCGGUUCGGUAAGUCCGCUGUGAAAGUCGGGGGCUCAACCCUCGGAUGCCGGUGGAUACUGUCGGGCUAGAGUGCGGGAGAGGCGUGUGGAAUUCCUGGUGUAGCGGUGAAAUGCGCAGAUAUCAGGAGGAACACCAAUUGCGAAGGCAGCUCGCUGGAACGUAACUGACGCUGAGACGCGAAAGCGUGGGGAGCAAACAGG